rnacentral:rRNA from 1 species
UACGUAGGGCGCGAGCGUUGUCCGGAAUUAUUGGGCGUAAAGAGCUCGUAGGCGGCCUGUCGCGUCGGUUGUGAAAGCCCGGGGCUCAACCCCGGGUCUGCAGUCGAUACGGGCAGGCUAGAGUUCGGUAGGGGAGACUGGAAUUCCUGGUGUAGCGGUGAAAUGCGCAGAUAUCAGGAGGAACACCGGUGGCGAAGGCGGGUCUCUGGGCCGAUACUGACGCUGAGGAGCGAAAGCGUGGGGAGCGAACAGG